ACACAACACGCUUUUGAAUGAUCACUCAGCCAUACUGCCAGCUAACAUCUCCCUCAAUUACUGAACAGUUUUAAAGCCACACGUUAUUGACUUAUUGAUGUUGCCAUCCCCGAAGUCAGGCUUCACGAUGACCUUUCAAAACCCGUUGACUUCCAGAUUUAUUUGUCUAUUUUUUUCUUAUUAUUUUUCAAACACUGCGCUAAACUGGGCUUUCUGAUUCUUGUUCUUUUUCUCGUUGUUAUUGCUGUUCUUUUCCCUCUUCUUUUCGGUCCCUGCAAACUAUUCUAUGCCAAACUUUAAGACAAAUAACCCAGUGGCCCCCAAGUCACUCUUGCUUCCAUAAAGCUUUAUAUUAAUUUCUAUCGUCUUUAGCCACGUCAUGUAUCUGUCCUUCAGGAGAGUAGAAUUUUAAUUCUAGGGUCUGGUGUUCUACUCUGCAGACAUUGGUUAUUACCAGCUUCAACUUGAACAGGUGAGCAAUGUUUUAGUCGCCAACACCUUGUGUGUAGCCAAAGGGUCACUAUAGCUGUUGCCAAAGGGUGGUUCAUAAAGGGGAAAAGGAUAGCAGUCGCAUGGUGUUACUGCCGUCACAAGCGCAUCGCUAACAAGACCAGCGAAUGGAGAAGGUUGAGGAGGAGGAGGAGAAAUGACGUAGAAAUGGAGUUACCGCCCAGUGUCACACGUCCUCUUGAAAUAUACCGACGAAGGAGGACUGCGGCUGGAACCUCUUGUCCUUGCCUGGGGUGACCGUAGUGCAUGCACGCCAAAAGUGCAGCCGCGGUAUUUCUCACCUCUUGGGGUUGGGGUAGGUGCGAGACCCCAGUAUUCGCAUACGAUGUACUUUCCGCCACUCCCGCCCAUUGCUCACCCAGCCCGAGCAAACUUUUUCCAAAAGGCUAGUGCCUUUAUUUACUGUACCACAUAAAACGGUAGAUCCUUCGUUUAGGAUAUAUAUUUUUUAAGGGGGGAAAAAGUUAACUGGCAGGGGAAAAAGAAUUGUUCCACAGAAAUAGGCGAUUGCUGCUCGUGGAAAAUAUAUUGUUAUAUGUAUAUAGAACUAUUAAUACUUCCUAUGAAGAGAAGCGAUUUUAAUAUUUGUAAGCAAGUUUGAGGCCUGUGUCGGAGAUUCUUAGAGGCAAUCUGCAAUGAGACAGGCAGAAGCUGCUUUAACAUUUACGAUGAUUUGAAAUAAGAAAUCGUCCCUUGAAACUCUUUGCUUUCCAUUUCUCUCUCUCUCUGUGUUUUGAAAAAUGAUAUAGGCUGAUUUUAUAUGCUGCUUCACUUUGUUAAUGGUAUUCUUCAGGUCAUAACGACGAAGUCGAUGACUAUAAAGAUGUCAAGUGUCAUCCAUGUGUGUGAAAGGAGUAAACAUCCUCUACUGCUUAGUGGGUUGGUAGCGAGUGUCUAUACUGAACAGGAUUGAUUACAGAAUGUUUUGAACCAUGAGGAUUCUCUGAAGUCUCGGUAAAGAAAGGAGUGUGAAACAAAAACUUUAUGAAAAUCUUCAAAGAAUGGUGGAUUGUUACAAGCAGGAUUGAUGUAGUUAACUGAAUAGCAGUGAUCGCUUCUCAAAAUGCCGUUCGUUCAAGUCUCUGUUGCAGCCAGAAAAAUACUUGUCAUAUCUUACUAUAAAUACUUUUCUUAAUUCUGUGCAAAUAUUGAAGACGCUGAACACUUUUUGAUGGAUUGUUGAUGCUUUACAAGACAAGUAUCUGUGUAGGUAUUGUAAAAACACACAAUUACCUCAGAUUACUCGUUCUGUGGGAAUGUACAUUUACCAUACAUUGAGUGUCAGAGUAGAGUGAUAAAAUGCAAACAAAAAAUGUCAACAGCUGCCAUUGUCAUAGUGAUAUAGUUCUUAAGAUUCUGACUGCUGUGUAAAAAGUUUUGUUGAUUGGUAUCAUUGUUGUAUUUGACACCCGAGUAUAAAGGUAGUGUUCUUAUGUUCGUAAAGUUUUAGUUCUCC
rnacentral:lncRNA from 1 species